UACGUAGGGGGCAAGCGUUGUCCGGAUUUAUUGGGCGUAAAGAGCGUGUAGGCGGCCAUGCAGGUCAGCUGUGAAAACUCGAGGCUCAACCUCGAGACGUCGGUUGAAACCGCAUGGCUAGAGUCCGGAAGAGGAGAGUGGAAUUCCCGGUGUAGCGGUGAAAUGCGCAGAUAUCGGGAAGAACACCUAUGGCGAAAGCACUCUGCUGGGCCGACACUGACACUGAGGCACGAAAGCGUGGGGAGCAAACAGG
rnacentral:rRNA from 1 species